GAUGAACGCUGGCGGCGUGCUUAACACAUGCAAGUCGAACGGAAAGGCCCAAGCUUGCUUGGGUCCUCGAGUGGCGAACGGGUGAGUAACACGUGGGUGAUCUGCCCUGCACUUCGGGAUAAGCCUGGGAAACUGGGUCUAAUACCGGAUAGGACCACAUUUUGGAUGGUGUGGUGGAAAGUUUUUCGGUGUGGGAUGAGCUCGCGGCCUAUCAGCUUGUUGGUGGGGUAAUGGCCUACCAAGGCGUCGACGGGUAGCCGGCCUGAGAGGGUGUACGGCCACAUUGGGACUGAGAUACGGCCCAGACUCCGACGGGAGGCAGCAGUGGGGAAUAUUGCACAAUGGGCGCAAGCCUGAUGCAGCGACGCCGCGUGGGGGAUGACGGCCUUCGGGUUGUAAACUCCUUUCGCUAGGGACGAAGCGUUUUUGUGACGGUACCUGGAGAAGAAGCACCGGCUAACUACGUG
rnacentral:rRNA from 1 species